rnacentral:piRNA from 1 species
UGCUUAGGAAUGAUUUGGAACAUUUAUCAGG